GACGAACGCUGGCGGCGUGCUUAACACAUGCGAGUCGAACGGUAAGGCCCUUCGGGGUACACGAGUGGCGAACGGGUGAAUAACACGUGGGUGAUCUGCCCUGCACUUCGGGAUAAGCCUGGGAAACUGGGUCUAAUACCGGAUAGGACCACUGCCUGCAUGGGUGGUGGUGGAAAGCUUUUGCGGUGUGGGAUGGGCCCGCGGCCUAUCAGCUUGUUGGUGGGGUGAUGGCCUACCAAGGCGACGACGGGUAGCCGGCCUGAGAGGGUGACCGGCCACACUGGGACUGAGAUACGGCCCAGACUCCUACGGGAGGCAGCAGUGGGGAAUAUUGCACAAUGGGCGCAAGCCUGAUGCAGCGACGCCGCGUGAGGGAUGACGGCCUUCGGGUUGUAAACCUCUUUCAGCACCGACGAAGCGCAAGUGACGGUAGGUGCAGAAGAAGGACCGGCCAACUACGUGCCAGCAGCCGCCGUAA
rnacentral:rRNA from 1 species